UGGGGAAUAUUGGACAAUGGGCGCAAGCCUGAUCCAGCCAUGCCGCGUGAGUGAUGAAGGCCCUAGGGUUGUAAAAGCUCUUUCGCCAGGGGACGAUAAUGACGGUACCUGGAUAAGAAGCCCCGGCUAACUUCGUGCCAGCAGCCGCGGUAAUACGAAGGGGGCUAGCGUUGUUCGGAAUCACUGGGCGUAAAGCGCACGUAGGCGGAUCUUUAAGUCAGGGGUGAAAUCCCGAGGCUCAACCUCGGAACUGCCUUUGAUACUGGAGGUCUCGAGUCCGGGAGAGGUGAGUGGAACUGCGAGUGUAGAGGUGAAAUUCGUAGAUAUUCGCAAGAACACCAGUGGCGAAGGCGGCUCACUGGCCCGGUACUGACGCUGAGGUGCGAAAAGCGUGGGGAGCAAAACAGGAUUAGAUACCCUGGUAGUCCACGCCGUAAAACUAUGGAUGCUAGCCGUUGGGCAGCUUGCUGUUCAGUGGCGCAGCUAACGCUUUAAGCAUCCCGCCUGGGGGAGUACGGUCGCAAGAUUAAAAACUCAAAUGAAUUGACGGGGUC
rnacentral:rRNA from 1 species